UUGGCUCACAAGUCUCUUCCACAGAGCUCUUUACGCAGGAACUCACUGUUUUCAUGUCAGUAGAAUUAAUGGGAUUUUGAAAAGACACCAUGUAAUUUUCUUCCAGAACUAAACAAAAUGUCCUGUGAAGGAAGGAGCAUGUAUGAAGUUAAAAGGAGUCUCCAAGAGUGGGUCAAGCUUCUGUCCUGAUUAUUUGCCCUGGAAUGUUCAUUGAGAUUAAGAGCGAAGAGAAAGAUAUUGAAUUGGGCAAGCACAGACACAUGUUCUCAGCAAUAUGAGGAAAGUGAAAACUGAUUUCAUAGAAGCCAAUAGAAGUCUUAUUAGCAGGUGUCGACUACACUGGGUCCAGGAUCCCAGUAUAUACCCGAGCCUUUCUCAGGAGGUCAACGAAAGGGAUAUAUGAUGCUCUGCGGUGCUGAAAAGAGGUGGAUCUGUUAAGUAGAGUGUGAAUUCCUGGGCUAAUUUAGAAAUUCCUGCUGAGAUAAAAGAGCUGGAACCUCCACAUCUGCCAGACCAACUGUCAUGCAGAGUAAAUCUGGUGGGUCUCAAGGUACUGGGUUCCGACCUCACACUCAAGUCAUCAGAAAAGUUUAGUGAGUGGACAUUGAGGUAUCUCUGGGACCGUGAAGACUGUAGCUUUAUCCAAGAGGCAGUUGGGAAGUAGCUCUCUAAUGGAGACUAUUUGGUAACACUGAGGAUGGAGGAAAUCUCAGGCACAUAGGUAAUUUCAAAGUUUGUGAAGCUAAGAGGCAUACUACUGUCAUAGUGUGACAUGAGUCUGUCAGAUGGUUAUAGUUUCUAGGAUCCUUGAGGAAUUUCCCAGUAAGGUUUAGCUCAAAGCACAGUCCUAAGUGUUAAAGAGAGUGGAAGACAUAAGAAAGGCACAAGUACUUGGUUGGUCUACACAGGCUCUUAACUUUUCUAUCGGCUCACAUUUAACUUAUUGGGGCAUCCCACAGAAAGAACUUACCUCACAUAGGAGGAGAUGAAGGAGUGUUUCUCCAGAGAGAGACCAAGUAUCUUGAUUCAGCUGAACCUAGAGGAUCAACCAACUGCCUCAGGAAAAGUGGACGCGGCAACUAAGGAUUCCAGUCCCUAGAAACUGGACAUCUACCUCUUGAAGAGACCAACUCAGAUGCCAUGAGGAGAGAUGUGGCUCAGCGGUUAAGAGCACUGACUGAUGUUCCAGAGGAACUGGGUUCAAUUCCCAGGCCAUCUGGAGUCCAGUCACACCAGGAAAAAAAAUAAAAUAAAUAAAUAAA